rnacentral:rRNA from 1 species
UACGUAGGGUGCAAGCGUUGUCCGGAAUUAUUGGGCGUAAAGAGCUCGUAGGCGGUCUGUCGCGUCUGCUGUGAAAACUCAGGGCUUAACCCUGAGCUUGCAGUGGGUACGGGCAGACUAGAGUGGCGGUAGGGGAGACUGGAAUUCCUGGUGUAGCGGUGAAAUGCGCAGAUAUCAGGAGGGAACACCGGUGGGCGAAGGCGGGUCUCUGGGC